AUGCUUAUCUGGCAGAAAAGCUAUUUCCCAUGAUCGUAUCGGUGGUGCUCUCAGGGUGACGUGCAUCCGUUGCACUCUGCCUGUGCUGAUCUCUGUCAUUUCCCAGAGUGCAAAAAACUCAACUGCAUUAUUUGUGAUAGUGGGAGACUGUAUUCAUGCUGUUCCCUA
rnacentral:snRNA from 1 species